AUUGAACGCUGGCGGAAUGCUUUACACAUGCAAGUCGAACGGUAGAGGGGGCAACCCCUUGAGAGUGGCGAACGGGUGAGUAAUAUAUCGGAACGUGCCCAGUCGUGGGGAUAACGUAGCGAAAGUUACGCUAAUACCGCAUACGAUCUAAGGAUGAAAGCGGGGGACUCGCAAGAGCCUCGCGCGAUUGGAGCGGCCGAUAUCGGAUUAGGUAGUUGGUGGGGUAAAGGCUCACCAAGCCAACGAUCUGUAGCUGGUCUGAGAGGACGACCAGCCACACUGGAACUGAGACACGGUCCAGACUCCUACGGGAGGCAGCAGUGGGGAAUUUUGGACAAUGGACGCAAGUCUGAUCCAGCCAUUCCGCGUGCAGGAUGAAGGCCCUCGGGUUGUAAACUG
rnacentral:rRNA from 1 species